rnacentral:lncRNA from 1 species
UACACUUUAUUUCUAGAACAGUUUUAGAUUUACAGAAAAAUGCAGAUGGUAGUAGAGACUUAGAAUAUACCACAUCUCCAAUUUCUCCUUUUAUUAGCAUUUUUUUGUAACAUCUAGGUUUGUGUAAGUACAAUCUUUUAUGUUCAUACAGUAAAAUUGCCUAAAGAUACAUUUCUCAGAAUGUAUUCUUAUUAUUAAGUGACUUACUAUAAAUAUAAAAGGUGUAACUACUCUACUUAAAAGAAAAACUAUUCAGUUCAUAUGGAGCUCUUUUAGAGAACCACACACAAGGUCUUCUAUAAAAGAACAUAAGGAUACAGAAGGUUUAAAAGUAGGUGGAUGAGAAAAGAGUUACACAAGGAAAAUAUUAAUCUAAAAAAAUAAAUACAGCUAUGUUAAUAUUAGCCAAACUACACAUUAAUGAAAAUAUAUUAGUGGAAAUAAAAGAGCAUCAAAUUAUUAAAAUGUAAGAUGUAAUUUACAGAAAAAAUUGUGAUAAUUCAAAACUUACAUACCUUACUGCAUAGCAUAAAACAUAAGAGGUAAAAAUAGACAAAAUUUCAGGAUAAAUCGAAAAAUCCACUAUCAUAAUGGGAGGUGAUAAUAAUGUUUCUUUAAGCAAAGUAUCAGCGAACUAUGCCACACAGGCCAAACUUUGUUUGUUGCCUCCUUUUGUAAAUAAAGAUUUAUUGGAAAUCAGGCAUAUCCAUUUAUUUAAGUAUUAUCUAUGACUUCUUUCAUGUUAUGAUGACAUAGAUAAGUAGUCAUAAAGGAGAUCAUAAGUCUAAAAUAUUUAUAAUUUGAUCCUGUGGAGAGAAAAAAAAAUGCCAACCCUGAUUUAAACAGUUAGAUGUUAUCCAGUAGGAUGAAAAAAAUCAGUACAAAUAUGGUAAAAGAUUUUAAAAACAGUAACAAGACAUUUAAUAAACAUAUAGAGAGGUUUCUACCCAAUAGAUGCAAGAUACAUAUUAUUUUCACAAAAGCUGAUUCCAACAUAAAGUAUGUAUGGGGCCAUAAAAUAAGUAUCAAACAAUGGGUACUCAUGGAUUUAAAGAUGGCAGUCAUAAACACUGGAAACUUCUGAUGUAAUCACCCAACAGAUACCUCUGCCAUUUCCUCAAAAAAAUAUUCACUGAUACUGUGGCAUUGCGACAGAGAAAAAGUUAAACUGACAUGAGGCUGGCCCAAGCUGGAGAACUGGAUUUAUCACUCAAGUAAAUCUUCCUGAAGGUUUGGAGGUUAAAGUUUUAUGGACAGUUUGGUGAACAGGGGCUAGCAAAUGGAUGGUACUGAUUGGUUGGGAAUGAAAUGCUAGGGGUGUGAAAAAUGGUUCUUGUGUGCUGAGUCUGCCUCUGGGUGGGACUACCGGAUCAGCUGAGUGAUGAGUCAUGAGUCUGGGUGGAAUCAGCCUGAAAUACAUCUUCAAAUAAACAAUCUUAGAUUCUACAAUAGUGAUGUUAUCUAUAGGAGCAAUUGUGGAAGUCACAAAUCUUGUGACC